GACAGAGGCCUCGAGCGUUAGGCGGAAUCACUGGGCUUAAAGCGUGUGUAGGCGGAUCGUUAAGUGCCUUGUGAAAUCCCACGGCUUAACUGUGGAACGGCUGGGCAUACUGGCGGUCUUGAGCCAUCUAGGGGCGACUGGAACAAACGGUGGAGCGGUGAAAUGCGUAGAUAUCAUUUGGAACGCCAAUGGUGAAAACAGGUAGCUGGGAGUGUGCUGACGCUGAGACACGAAAGCCAGGGGAGCAAACGGG
rnacentral:rRNA from 1 species